rnacentral:rRNA from 1 species
GACGAACGCUGGCGGCGUGCUUAACACAUGCAAGUCGAACGAUGAAGCUGGGACUUGCUCCGGUGGAUUAGUGGCGAACGGGUGAGUAACACGUGAGCAAUCUGCCCUUGACUCUGGGAUAACUGCGGGAAACUGUAGCUAAUACCGGAUACGAGGCUCGAAGGCAUCUUCGGGUCUGGAAAGAAUUUCGGUCAAGGAUGAGCUCGCGGCCUAUCAGCUUGUUGGUGAGGUAAUGGCUCACCAAGGCGACGACGGGUAGCCGGCCUGAGAGGGUGACCGGCCACACUGGGACUGAGACACGGCCCAGACUCCUACGGGAGGCAGCAGUGGGGAAUAUUGCACAAUGGGCGAAAGCCUGAUGCAGCAACGCCGCGUGAGGGAUGAAGGCCUUCGGGUUGUAAACCUCUUUUGGCAGGGAAGAAGCGAAAGUGACGGUACCUGCAGAAAAAGCACCGGCUAACUACGUGCCAGCCGCCGCCGUAA